GACGAACGCUGGCGGCGUGCCUAAUACAUGCAAGUCGAGCGAAGUUUUUCUGGUUCUUGCACUAGCAAAACUUAGCGGCGAACGGGUGAGUAACACGUAAAGAACCUGCCUCAUAGACUGGGACAACUAUUGGAAACGAUAGCUAAUACCGGAUAACAGUAUUUCUCGCAUGAGAGAUAUUUAAAAGUUGGUUAUGCUAACACUAUGAGAUGGCUUUGCGGUGCAUUAGCUAGUUGGUGGGGUAAAGGCCCACCAAGUCGACGAUGCAUAGCCGACCUCAGAGGGUGAUAGGCGACACUGGGACUGAGACACGGCCCAGACUCCUACGGGAGGCAGCAGUAGGGAAUCUUCCGCAAUGGGCGAAAGCCUGACGGAGCAACGCCGCGUGAGUGAAGAAGGAUUUCGGUUCGUAAAGCUCUGUUGUUAGGGAAGAAUGGAUAUGUAGUAACUAUACAUGUAAGAGACGGUAACUAACCAGAAAGCCACGGCUAACUACGUG
rnacentral:rRNA from 1 species